GUCAACUUGGAUAGCUCAGUUGGUUAGAGUGUGGUGCUGAUAAUCCCAAGGUUGCAAGAUUGAUCCCUGUGUGGGACA
rnacentral:tRNA from 1 species